rnacentral:tRNA from 2 species
GCCAAUGUAGCUCAGCGGUAGAGCAGCCGAUUCGUAAUCGGCAGGUCGUCAGUUCAAAUCUGACCAUUGGCUCCA